rnacentral:misc_RNA from 1 species
UUUCCGUAGGUGAACCUGCGGAAGGAUCAUUAAAGAAUUUGCCCCGUCCUCUCGAGGAUGGGUCCUCUUCUAAACCGUGUAUACAUACCUUUGUUGCUUUGGCGGGCCGCCGUCUCGGCGUUGGCUUCGGCUGACUGUGCCUGCCAGAGAACCCCAACUCUCCUGUUUAGUAUUGUCUGAGUACUAUAUAAUAGUUAAAACUUUCAACAACGGAUCUCUUGGUUCUG